AUUGAACGCUGGCGGCAGGCUUAACACAUGCACGUCGAGCGAGUGGCGGACGGGUGAGUAAUGUCUGGGAAACUGCCUGAUGGAGGGGGAUAACUACUGGAACCGGUAGCUAAUACCGCAUACCAUCAGAUGUGCCCCGAUGGGAUUAGCUAGUAGGUGGGGUAAUGGCUCACCUAGGCCACGAUCCCUAGCUGGUCUGAGAGGAUGACCGGCCACACGGGAACUGAGACACGGUCCAGACUCCUACGGGAGGCAGCAGUGGGGAAUAUUGAACAAGGGGCGCAAGCCUGAUACAGCCAUGCCGCGUGUGUGAAGAAGGCCUUCGGGUUGUAAAGCACUUGCAGCGAGGAGGCGUUACUCGCAGAAGAAGCACCGGCUAACUCCGUGCCAGCAGCCGCGGUAAUUC
rnacentral:rRNA from 1 species